UACGGGGGGGGUAAGCGUUGUUCGGAAUUACUGGGCGUAAAGGGCUCGUAGGCGGCCAACUAAGUCAGACGUGAAAUCCCUCAGCUUAACUGGGGAACUGCGUCUGAUACUGGAUGGCUUGGAUUCGGGAGAGGAAUGCGGAAUUCCAGGUGUAGCGGUGAAAUGCGUAGAUAUCGAGAGGAACACCUGCGGCGAAGGCGGGUUGCUGGGCUGACACUGACGCUGAGGCGCGAAAGCUAGGGGAGCGAACGGG
rnacentral:rRNA from 1 species